UACGUAGGCAGCGAGCGUUGUUCGGAGUUACUGGGCGUAAAGGGUGUGUAGGCGGCGCGGUAAGUCGGGUGUGAAAUCUCGGAGCUUAACUCCGAAACUGCAUUCGAUACUGCCGUGCUUGAGGACUGGAGAGGAGACUGGAAUUUACGGUGUAGCGGUGAGAUGCGUAGAUAUCGUAAGGAAGACCAGUGGCGAAGGCGGGUCUCUGGACAGUUCCUGACGCUGAGGCACGAAGGUCAGGGGAGCAAACGGG
rnacentral:rRNA from 1 species